ACUCGUCGUCUCGCCCCCCUCUCUCAAACUUCAACCCUCGCGCCCAUGCCGCCCCCCUCCCUGAGAAUACGCAAGCACGCAGAGAUUUCUCCGAUGCUGUAUACGACGUCGUCUCUCAGGGCCGGCGCUAGGAUUUCAACAGCAGCGAACUACCAGAUACAAACGGCGGCGAAACUUAGACUCUCUAAUUUCAACCUAUCCUGACAUGAAUUCAGCCUCGUCACUUGUCUAGCUUUGAUUGAAUCUUUAUCCAGAUGUCCUUCUGGAUGAGUUUGUCCUCCAUGAUUCAAAUAUAAAGGCUUUCGGGUUGCACCAGCGGAGCUAGAAGAGCUGCUUCUCACUCAUCCUGAAAUAAUGGAUGCUGCUGUUAUAGGGUUUAGCUAAAGCUCACAACUGUUACUCGAUCAGCAAGAGAGGGAUUAUAGGUUAAUGCUGCAAGAGAUUGACAUGUUAUAUGGAGAAGUUCUUGCCUGUUGAUAUGGCUUUUGAAAGUUUAUUGGAAAUAUUAUGAUGUGUGGGUAUUGUAUGUAAGAUUGUCAUUUGAAAGAUACUAUUAUGGUGUAGCUUUUUAGAUGUUGGGAGAUGUUAUAAAAGAAUGGAAUUCAUUUGUAGAUGUUGGAUGAUUUGUUAUUUUCA